UUGGCUUGUGGGUUACACAUGGUUUACUAACUCCUUUGCCGGAGUAACUUCCAAGAUAAACAAACACUUGGCUAAUUAGUUAACAAAUAAAUAAAUAAAUCCCUGAAUAUAAUUUAUGUUGGUUUCAAAUGGUGACCACUGAAUUUGUCCCUAUGAAAAAUAACUCUAAUUUCACAGAACCAAUCUUUCAUGUAGUUGAGGAACAGGGAGUAAAGGAUAGGGAGCAGAAUCAGGCAGUUGGCCUAGAGGGUAAGGCCUGGUGUGCUACCCCACAAAGAAGUUUCCUAGGGAUCUACAUUCUUGCCCUGCCUUGUCCUAAUUAGGGCAGUAUAGGGUCAGGAAGAACUGAAGAGUUAACCAUUAAUUAUUAAAACAGCUUAGUACAAAAAAGCAGAAGGUAAGCAAGGCAUGGCAGCAUACACCUGUAAUCCCAGGUACAUGGGAGGUUGACGCAGGAGGAUUACAAGUUUGAGGCCAGCCUGGGCAACUUGGAGAGACCUUGUCUUAAAAAAAAAGAAGGGAGAUAGACAUGGAGCUCAGUGGUAAAGCAUUCCUAGGUUCAAGUCCCAGUACCACUCAAACACCAAAAGAAAAAAGAAAAAAACGUAGAAAGAGAAGUAUUCUUGUGCAGAAAAAAAAGGAAAAGCACUUAUCUGUCUGCCUUGGGAGAAGAGAAGAGAGCAAAUCUACCCCAUUAUUUAUAUUCUAGUUUUGGAAGGGCACAAAUGCAUAGCAAACUUCUUUUCCCCUUCCUCAGAUGUUCUGCUAUGCUCUUCAAACUUCUCAGUCUCAGUACUACCUUCUGGCUGCCCUCAAUGCCUCUACUACGGUCACUCACUCAGGUCUGCCUUCCUCUACCAAUCCAUCCUCAUGUCUCUUCAAAGUAGACUGUACAUAGGCAGCAGCUAUUCCACUUUGUAGAUUCAGAAAAUGAAAGAGAAAUGACACCCCAAUAACCUGCUGUAAAACUGUGGAAACACUUAGAACAAAACCCUGUGAGCUGGGUGUGGUGGUACAUGCCUAUAAUCCAGCAGCUGGGGAGACUAAAGUAGGAGGAUCACAGGUUUGAGUUCAACCUCGGCAACUUAGUGAGGACAUAAAAAACGUAGUGAGACUCCAUCUCAAAAUAAAACAUAAAAAGGGCUAGGAAGUGGCUCAAUGGUUAAGUACCCUUGGGUUCAAUCUCUGGUAACAACAACAAAAAAAAGAACAAAACCCUGUGUUCUUACCUUAUAGAACACAGGUGGACAUUACCAAAGAGAAAAACAAAUUCUUUCACUAUUAAAUCUCUCUUCACUUUAAAUCACAAGACUUUAUAAGAACCAAGCCUAGUCAGGUGAGAUUAGAGGUGAGUCAUAAAAAUUACUCAGGUCCUGAUGGCUAGUGAUCUUCAGAAAAAUUCCCUCUAUUUCUAAAAAAAACUUCAGAAUAUAUCAGCUUCAAGUAGAUAAAUUAAUAAAAGAAUAUGCUAUGUUAAAAAAUAUAAAUUAGGGCUGGGGUUGUAGCUCAGUGGUAGAGCACUUGCCUAGCAUGUGUGAGGCACUGGGUUCAAUUCUCAGUACCACAUAAAAAUAAAUAAAUAAAAUAAGGGUAUUGUGUCCAUCUACAACUAAAAAUAUUUUUGAAAAAGUAUAAAUCAGGGUUGGGGACAUAGUUCAGUGAUACACCAUGUAUUUGGCAUGUAUAAGGCCCUGUGUUUAGCAUGCAUAAGGCACCACCAGGAAAAAAAAAAAAAAGUAUGAAUCAAAAUUGGUGCCAGGUGCAGUGGUGCACAUCUGUAAUCCCAGCAGCUUGGGAGGCUGAGGCUAGAGGAUUGCAAGUUUAAAGCCUGCCUCAGCAAAAGCGAGACACACUAAGCAACACAGUGAGACCCUGUCUCUAAAGAAAAAUACAAAAUAGGGCUAGGGAUGUGGCUCAAUGGUCCAGUGCCCUGAAUUCAAUCCCUGGUACCAGCCCCCUGCCCAAAAAAUUGGUUAUAGUGACUGGUAUUUCUUUCUUUUCUUUUAAAUGUUUUAUUUCUGUGUUUUAAGAAACAGUAUGAGACUAGCAAAGAUUGAAAAAAAUAAAAAGUUUCUAAUUUUUUUUUCUUCAAAUGGAAGGAAGUAAUUGACAACUUUCAGUAAAAUGGUAUCUAUCUUAAAUCUCAGAAAUAUAUUAACAAUAAAAAUUAUCAUCAUCAUCAUCAUCUUUUUCUUUUUCUUUUUUGAAGACUAGAUCUUCCUAUAUUGCCCAGGCUGAUUUUGAACUCCUGGGCUCAAGUGAUCCUUCUACCUCAGUCUCUUAAGUAGCUGGGGACUAUAGAGAUGCAUUACUGCAGCAGGAAAAAAAUUAUUUUUAAAAGUUAGAUACAACUUUGAAAAGAUAAAUAAGAUUGAGAAAUCCUUAGCCAAAAGAAAGAAUGAAAAGACAGAAAUCAACAAGAUUAGAGAUGAAACAGGAGAUAUUACCACAGAGCCUUUUAAAAUCCAGAGCAUUUUCAGAACUUAUUUUGAAAAUUUAUAUUCCAGUAUAAGUAUGGGUGGUGGGACUGCAGACUAGUACAACCACUCUGGAAAAAAAUAUGGACAUUCCCCAAAUAACUAGGGAUGGAACCACCACAUGACCCAGCCAUCUUACUUCUUGGUAUUUUCCUAAAAAAAUCUAAAAUCACCCUACAGUGACAUAGCCAUCUCAAUGUUUACUGCAGUACAACUCAAAUAAUUAAGUUAUGGAAUCAAACCAGAUGCCUGUCAAUAGAUGAAUGGAUUAAGAAAUUGUGAUACACACACACACAUACACACACAUACACACAAUGGGAAUUCUACUCAGUCAUAAAAAAGAAUGCAAUUAUGGCAUUUGCCUAUAAAUGGAUGGAAAUAAAGAAUAUCAUGUUAAGUGAAAGAAGCCAAAUUCAGAAACUCAAAAGUUGAAUGUUUUCUCUCAUAUGUGGAAGUUGAAGAAACUGGGAGGAAAGGAUAGGAUAACAUGAAGAACCAAUCAAAUACAAAUUAAUAGAUGAGAGAAAGGAAGUCUAGUAGAGUAGAAGAAGGAGAAUGAGAGUGGGGAAGGAAGACUGGAGGGAAAAAAGAGGGAUUGUGAACUAUAAUCAAUUUCAAUGCAUGUGUGUUUGUCAGGAUGAACUGACCUACGAUGUAUAACUAUAAAGCUCUAAUUUUUAAAAAAGUUAGAUAAUAAAACUGAUUUUAAGCUAAAAUAUGGUAAGACUUAAGAGUGUACUGAGGCUGAAGUGCAGUGAUAAAGCCCUUGCCUAGUAUGCUGGGUUCUACCCCAACACUGCAAAUAUAAACAAAGAUGAUAUUUUUUGUAAAUGUCUAACUUAGCAGUAAAGCCACUACAAACCAUUUUUUUAAAAUUAGGCAGGCUAGGGCUGGGAAUGUGGCUCAAGCGGUAGCGCGCUCGCCUGGCAUGCGUGGGGAGCUGGGUUCAAUCCUUAGCACCACAUACAAAUAAAAUAAAGAUGUUGUGUCCACCGAAAACUAAAAAAUAAAUAUAAAAAAAAUAAAAAUAAAAAUUAGGCAGGCUAGAAUAAAAUUAGGCAGGCUAGAAUACUUCAAAAUACAAUGUUUUAUGACAAAAGUAGAAUUUUAAUUCCCAAAUUACAUGAUUUAUAACAAAAACAUUUUGAUUUAAAUAUAUUUUUUAAAUUUACCUUUUGUUCCUGCAAAAACUGGUCUGCUAACUUUUUAAUAUUUUCUUCAUGCUGUGCUCUUAAUUCUUUGAUCUGCUGUCCACACUGAAAACUAAAUUACAAAGGCAUUCUUUUAGAUUAUAUAAUGUUGGGUUGAAUUCUCAAAAUUGUCUAGAAGUUGACACACACAUUUAGAAAGACAAAACAUUCAGUAAGCAGAAGAGUGAAUAUAUAAUAACAAAAAAAAACAGACAAAUAACUUACAGUCAGAAUUUUUAAAAUAUUUGAACCAUUAAUAGGAAAUAUGAAAUACCAAUGAAGUUAACUGAAAAAAUAAAUUGAAAAGAUGAAAACUCCCAGGGGCUUGGGAGGCUGAGGCCCUAAGCAACUCAGUGAGACCCUGUCUCUAAAUAAAAUAUAAAAAAUGUGGCUCAGUGGUUAAGUGCCCCUGGUUUCAAUCCCCAGUACCAAAAAAGGGGAAAGAAAGAAAAAAAAAGGAAAGAAAACAAACUUGACUGCAUCAUUUUAUAUAUUGCAUUUAUAAAGAAACAAUUGUCAAAGUUAAUUUCAAUCACAGAAGAGAAAAAUACUAUAGAAAACUGUGAAACCAGUUUAUAAUAAUAGGAUGAGAAAGACUAGAAUUAUUAGAGUGGAUAAAGAAUGGCAACUAUUGUUUUGUCCAAUAGUAUCUUAAACACAACACUAAAAUUUUAAACCAGAGAAUAAGGGGAAUGGAAGAAACCAAUAAAAAAGAUAAGAGUGUAUCAUCAAGAAAAAGUGAAAGAAAGCAAAACAGUUGAAGGUGGUAACUUUCUGUGGGACUAAGAGUCAAAGAAUACAAAUACAUCAUUCAUGCAAAAAUAUAUAGUUCAUAAGUACACAGAAAAAUAUUAACUUUCAUAAUUAUAAAAUGCAAAUUAAACUUUCUAUAUGAAUAUAUGGUAGUACCUUAUUUUCCUAUAUUAGAGUAAAUAUCAGUAUUACAAAUUAGAAAAAUCUUUUUUUUUUUUUUCAGUACCAGGGAUAGAAUCCAGGGGUGUUUCACCUCUGAGUUAGUCUCAGCCCUUUUUGUGUAUUUGAGACAGGGUCUAAGUUGCCCAGCCAUGUUUUGAACAUGCAAUCCUCCUGCUUCAGCCUCCUGAGUUGCCUGAAUUUCAGAAGUGUGCCACGUGCCUGGCUAGAUAAUCACUUUAGAAAGCAAUCUCUCAUCAAUGCUGUUAGAGCAACAAAAUUGGUAAAAUAUUCUUUCCCAAGAAUUCUACAUUUGAGAAGACACACUAGUAAAAUAAGGGGGGGAAACCUUUUUUGCAUAAAAAUUUUUAAAGCUGUGAUAAUCUUAAUAUUGAAAAAAGGGGAAAUUUCUACAGUGAUCCAAAAACUGGGAAAAAUUAAACAAGUUUUGUUACACUAAUAUGCUGAAUAAUAUAUUACCCCUCAAUAUGUUAAGUCUUUUUUUCUUUUUUUGAGACAGGUUCUCACUAUGUUGCCUAGGUGGGCCUCAGCCUCCUGAGUAGCUGGGAUUAUAGGCACAUACUAUGAUUCCUAACUAAUAGGUUAAAUCUUAAAUCCUAUAACUACACAGAAAAGUACUAAAUACUAUUAGGUUAAAAUAUAUAUAUGUAAGUGCAGAUGCAUACUGAUAACCUAUAGCAGUAAGAAAUUAGAAAUGGAUAAGCUUUUAAAAUAUGGCGAGUCUUUCUAAUUUUUGCUGUAUAAAUCUAAAAUAAUAACUUUUAUCAAAAAUAUCAUAAAAGUUUUUAAUGAAUGUUUGCUAGAAAAGUCCCUAAGAGGUUCCCCAUCCUCAUCACAAAAUGUAGAAGUGUAAGCAAGGGGAUUGAAGUGCAGAGCAGGAGAAGCAGCCAGCACUCUUAGUCUCUUAGCUAUUCUUGGGCCAUCUCCCAAAGAUAGCUUCAUCUUUAAGAUGUCCCUUAAAAAGAAUCACAAAAUUUUCAUUCAGUCUUAGCUAUAUCCAAUUUGAUAAAACUCAGAGAUUUAAGGUUUUAUGUCUCACAAUGAACACUACAACAUAGACAAAUUCAACAUGUCCUAUAAGAAAUAUUUUCAUGUUUAGCAUAUCAAAAUAAAAGCCAUCAAAAGACAAAGUGAAACAAACUUAAAAGAACUAAGAAUAUAAAAAAAGAAAAAUAAUCCAGAAAAGAAGAAAUUAAUUAAGUCCAAACUUAAACAAUAUUUCAGUUUCAUAAAUAUCUGUUGCACGUAUCAUCUUACCUUUCAUACUCUAACCUCUUCACAAGGUAAGUAUUAUUCUUCCUAUAGUCCUGAAGCUGGUCUUCUUGUCGAAGAAAUUCCUGUCGAAGUUCAGCAAGUUGUUCUAUCCACACAAGAAUGAUUGAUUGGAGUCCUGGAGGAGCAAGCUGGCCCCACACUUCUCCAAAUCCACAUUUCUUUUCCUACAAAGACUGGGAACCAAAGACACGCCUUUGUAGGAGGGUAAAUGUUUACAUUCUUUACUGAUCUCUUUGUUCUCAUGAUUCAAUUUCCUUUUGUAUUUGUUGCCCCUCCAAAGAACAUAACCUCCGGGCUGGGGAUGUGGCUCAAGAGGUAGUGCGCUCGCCUGGCAUGUGUGCGGCCCGGGUUCCAUCCUCAGCACCACAUACAAACAAAGAUGUUGUGUCCGCCGAAAACAAAAAUAAAUAAAUAAAUAUUUUAAAAAAACAAAACAAAACAAAAAAAAAAAGAACAUAACCUCCAAAGAACAUAACAUGUAGUCUUGUUUCCAAAAAGUGUAUAUUACUUGUUUUUUAACAUAUUUUUAUGAUACUAUGUCAGCUUCUCAGUAAUCUCUAUUUUAAACCUGUUUCUGAAAUUGCUAGAGGGAUGCUAUUCUUGAAUGCACCAGAUUGGACAAGGGAAGAUGGGGGAAGAGAGAGGAGAGAAUAGGGAUGACAUAGAAUGAAUUGGACAUAACUUUCUAUGUUGAUAUGAAUACAUGACCAGUGUAACUCCACAUCAUGUGCAACCGCAAAAAUGGAACCUUAUACUCCAUGUAUGUAUAUCAAAAUACAUUCUACUGUCAUGCAUAAUUAAAAAGAACAAAUAAAAAAUUAUUAAAAUAGAAGUCA